GUUUUUUAACUGGAGGGGAAGUGGGGAUGACGUCAAAUCAUCAUGCCCCUUAUGUGUAGGGCUACACACGUGCUACAAUGGCUGGUACAGAGAGAUGCAAUACCGCGAGGUGGAGCCAAACUUAAAAACCAGUCUCAGUUCGGAUUGUAGGCUGAAACUCGCCUACAUGAAGCUGGAGUUACUAGUAAUCGCGAAUCAGAAUGUCGCGGUGAAUACGUUCCCGGGUCUUGUACACACCGCCCGUCACACCAUGAGAGUUGGCAAUACCCGAAGUCCGUGAGCUAACCGCAAGGAGGCAGCGGCCGAAGGUAGGGUCAGCGUAUUGGGGUGAUUGAAAAAAAAUACAC
rnacentral:rRNA from 1 species